UACAAAAUUUCUAUUUUCCUGGUAGGAAGAAAUCACUCAUGAGAUCGAAUGGUGAUGAAGAAGAAGGCGAUGAUACUAGCAGCUCUUGGAAGGGUUUGCACUUUUUUUAAGAAAUCAUAUCAACGGAAUACCAAAAGGGCCGCUUCGAGACUCUAUCAUUGUUUGGACCAUUCAUGCCAACUGACAACCAAGAAACAAAGAAGCUAGUCAGGAUGCAGGAGUGUCUCCUUAACAAGCCCUGAUGGUCAUGUUGGAGGCAGUGGAAUUGCUGGUCUUCUUAUCGCUACCUAUCCUAUGCAGGUAAGGUUAUUUUAAGCAUGUUUUUAUCAUUCAAAUGGGCUUCAUGGUUGCAUGGUGAGAUUAUUUGAAACAGCCUUUGUGGAUUCAUUCCUUGGUUCAUUGCAUUUACCAUGCGAAAGCCUAGCCCAUAUCAGUACUGUGUCAACUAUGGAUAUUCUUCAGUUUCUUGAAUUGUUAUCCUAUUUGGUUCUUGAUUUAAGUUUAUGCAUGUGUUGUAUCUCUCAAUUAUCGAUGUGAAUUUUGAUAUUUUUGAUUUAAGUUAAUGCUUUCAGGGACUAUGGGAAUGCCCAUAUGAAGGAGAUGCUAUAAAAGAAAAUUUCAAGCAGGAUUAGACCCCCACAUGGUAACAAAGUCCACAACAACGAGUCUUUUUGUAUCAAAAAGCUUUAACGAGAGAAGGAGUUCAGAUAUUAUAACUCAUAUAAGCAUCCACUUCCAUGUCACCUUCUUGGAAAUGAAAAUGUUCAUGUACCUCUUGUAUUUUGCAGUGGUUCUGGUUUAAUUUCAUCUAGGAAAGAAGCCAAGAAGGAAAAAAAAUUAGGAUUCUUAUAUUUAUGUAUCUAUCUUUUUGUACAGAUGAAUUUUUAUAGCCAACUUGACAUGUUUUA